CAUAUCACUAAGCGGAGGAAAAGAAACCAACAGGGAUUCCCCUAGUAACGGCGAGUGAAGCGGGAAGAGCCCAGCGCCGAAUCUCAGAGUGGUCUUGCUCUUGAGAACUGUGGCGUUUAGGCAGAGCCUUCGUGACUGUUCCAGUUGCACAAGUCCUCCUGAUCGGGGCCUGACCCAUAGUGGGUGUUAGGCCCGUACUUGCACAGGUUCAGUCACCAGGCCUCUACCGACGAGUCAGGCUGUUUGGGAUCGCAGCCUAAAGUGGGUGGUAAACGCCAUCUAAGGCUAAAUACUGACACGAGUCCGAUAGCGCACAAGUACCGUGAGGGACAGUUGAAAAGGACUUUGAAGAGAGAGUUCAAUAGUACGUGAAACCGCACAGAGGCAAACGGAUGGAGACGCAAAGUCACUGGCAGACUUCAGUUGAGCGGUGCCGAGACGAGGCUUCAAGGAGAUCAGUUGGCCACUCGUGGGUCAGUUGACUCGUGGAGUCUUGCGCUACUCGGUGUCAAUCUGCGCAUUGUCUGUCAGUGUGUGCCACGAUCAACUGCCGGCGUAUCAGAACGCACUCUCGAAGAUAGCGCACGAGCUUCGGCUCGAGCAAAUAGCCUGAGUGUACCGGUACGCUGACGGUUGAGGAUGUGAUCUAGGCAGCGGUGCUCGCCGCAGGGCGUGAGACGGUCGUCGUGCUGUUCCGACUCAGUGGUGGACUGGUUCCAGUGCUCUGCUGUUGCCUCGGGCAGUCGGUUGCCGGUCAACUCACAAGAGUGCCGCGGAUCUGUGGUUAUCUGGUCGUUAUUCUAUCCGACCCGUCUUGAAACACGGACCAAGGAGUCUAGCAUGUACGCGAGUCAAUGGGCUCUACGAAACCCAGAGGCGUAAUGAAGGUGAGGUGGCAAGACUCUUGUACUCUUCUCACGAAGGUGCAGGAAGCACUGCCGGCCCGUUCUGAUUCCGUGUGAACAGGGCGGCGCAGGAGCGUUCACGCUGGGACCCGAAAGAUGGUGAACUAUGGCUGGGCAGGAUGAAGCCAGAGGAAACUCUGGUGGAGGUCCGUAGCGAUUCUGACGUGCAAAUCGAUCGUCAAACCUGGCUAUAGGGGCGAAAGACUAAUCGAACCAUCUAGUAGCUGGUUCCCGCCGAAGUUUCCCUCAGGAUAGCUGGCGCUUGAUCGCAGUUUUAUCCGGUAAAGCGAAUGAUUAGAGGCCUUGGGGACGAAACGACCUCAACCUAUUCUCAAACUUUAAAUGGGUAAGAAAGACCAGUAGCUUGAUUGUACUGGUCGAUCAAUUAACUUGAAUGCGAGUGCCUAGUGGGCCACUUUUGGUAAGCAGAACUGGCGCUGUGGGAUGAACCAAACGAGCGGUUAAGGUGCCGAACGAGGACGCUCAUCGGAUACCAGAAAAAGUGUUGGUUGAUAUAGACAGCAGGACGGUGGCCAUGGAAGUCGGAAUCCGCUAAGGAGUGUGUAACAACUCACCUGCCGAAUCAACUAGCCUUGAAAAUGGAUGGCGCUGGAGCGUCGGACCUAUACCGUUCCGUUGCUGUACAACACAGAGAGAGAGACAGCAACGAGUAGGCGGGUCGCUGUGGUGAGCAUUGAAGCAUUGGACGUGAGUCUGUGUGGAGCCGCCACAGGUGCAGAUCUUGGUGGUAGUAGCAAUGAUUCAAGUGAGAACCUUGAAGGCCGAAGUAGAGAAGGGUUCCAUGUGAACAGCAGUUGGACAUGGGUUAGUCGGUCCUAAGCCAUAGGUGAACACCGUUCUGAACGCGGGGCAAUCUAUUUUCAAUUUUUGAACAGAAAUUUGCUCGCACAUUGGCGAAAGGGAAUCGGAUUAACAUUUCCGAACCUGGACAUGGAGAAUUGGUCCUCGGACCUUUGUGCGGUGACGCAAACGAACUCCGAGACGUUGACGAGAGUCCCGGGAAGAGUUUUCUUUUCUUUGUAAGGGGCGUGCAAGCCUGGAAUCGACUCGAUCGGAGAGAGGCUUAGUGACCCCGUAAAGCACUGCGGCUCUUGCAGUGUCCGGUGCACUCUCGUUGGCCCUUGAAAAUCGGAGGGAGACGCUAUAAUUUUCAUGCCAGGCCGUACCCAUAUCUGCAGCAGGUCUCUAAGGUCAACAGCCUUUGGCGAUAGAAGAAUGCAGGCAAGGGAAGUCGGCAAAUUAGAUCCGUAACUUCGGGAAAAGGAUUGGCUCUAAGGGCUGGGUUUGUCGGGCUGUAGCCUGAAGCAAGAUGGGGACUGGCUGGACUGUUCGCUGGCGACCCUCUGCUCGAACCUGCUGGCCUCGGUCAGUGGGCGAGGGUGGAGACCGUCGCUGCGGACGGACUACUGCUGGAACCUUCUUGUGGAAAGCUACUGCUGCGUGGCCAGUUUUGACUUCGGUCUGGCUGGUUCACUUCGGCAGACGU
rnacentral:rRNA from 1 species